rnacentral:lncRNA from 1 species
AACCUGUGGCGCGCUCCGCGGUUCCGGCGCCUGAAGUUUUAGCUGCGGUGGCGGCGGCAGUCGGGACCGACUGCAAGGCAGGUUGAGAUGAUGGAUCUGAGGCUUGCAGCUCGCAGUCCCAACGAGCCUUAGGGACCAGGGCUACCAAAAGGGUGGGGAGAACGGUGGUGGCAUCUGUCUGUUGCCUGGGAUCCAGGCGCCCGGUUGGGGAAUCCUUACUUCAGGAAGCGCAGCCGCGGCUCUGUGUUUUGAGAGUGCAAGUACGUGUCAGGAUGUCAUUUGUCAGAGUGAACCGCUGUGGUCCCCGAGUUGGUGUAAGAAAGACACCGAAAGUAAAGAAGAAGAAAACUUCAGUGAAACAAGAAUGGGAUAAUACCGUGACUGAUCUAACCGUUCAUCGGGCAACUCCCGAAGAUCUGGUACGCCGUCAUGAAAUACACAAAUCGAAGAAUAGAGCAUUAGUACACUGGGAACUCCAAGAAAAAGCUUUGAAGAGAAAAUGGAGGAAGCAGAAACCAGAAACUUUAAAUCUUGAGAAAAGAAGAUUGUCUAUCAUGAAGGAGAUUCUUUCUGAUCAAUACCAGAUGCAAGAUGUGUUGGAGAAAUCUGAUCAUCUAAUAGCUGCAGCAAAAGAGCUGUUUCCUCGUAGGCGCACAGGGUUUCCAAAUGUAACAGUGGCUCCUGAUUCCUCUCAGGGUCCCAUUGUGGUAAAUCAAGACCCUAUCACCCAAUCUAUCUUUAAUGAGUCUGUCAUAGAACCUCAGGCUCUUAAUGAUGUAGAUGGUGAAGAAGAAGGAACUGUUAAUAGCCAGUCAGGAGAAAGUGAGAAUGAGAAUGAGUUGGAUAACUCUCUAAACUCUCAGUCUAACACGAAUACAGACAGGUUUCUCCAACAACUAACAGAAGAGAAUUUUGAGUUAAUUAGUAAGUUGUGGACUGACAUUCAGCAGAAAAUAGCAACCCAGUCACAAAUAACUCCUCCAGGAACGCCAUCAUCUGCUCUUUCAUCAGGGGAGCAAAGAGCUGCUCUGAAUGCUACCAAUGCUGUCAAGAGACUCCAAACCAGGCUUCAGCCUGAAGAAUCUACUGAGACUCUAGACUCAAGCUACGUUGUGGGACACGUGCUGAACUCAAGGAAGCAAAAACAGCUGUUAAAUAAAGUGAAAAGGAAACCGAAUUUGCAUGCUCUUUCCAAGCCGAAGAAAAACAUAUCAUCAGGUAGCACAACCUCUGCAGACUUACCAAAUAGGACUAAUUCCAACCUGGAUGUCCUCAAACACAUGAUACAUGAAGUGGAACAUGAAAUGGAAGAAUAUGAGCGGUGGACAGGUCGCGAGGUCAAGGGUCUGCAGAGCAGUCAGGGUCUUACAGGCUUCACUUUGUCGCUGGUGAGCUCCCUCUGUCGCCUGGUUCGGUACCUUAAAGAGAGUGAGAUCCAGCUACGUAAAGAAGUAGAGACAAGGCAACAACUGGAACAAGUAUUAGGUGAUCAUCGAGAGCUCAUUGAUGCUCUGACAGCUGAAAUUCUUCGUCUUAGAGAAGAAAACGCUGCUACACAGGCAAGACUUCAGCAGUACAUGGUCACAACAGAUGAGCAACUGAUAUCACUCACACAUGCUAUUAAGAACUGUCCUGUGAUAAAUAACAGACAAGAAAUUCAGGCAUCAGAAAGCGGAGCCACAGGUAGAAGAGUUAUGGACAGUCCAGAGCGUCCAGUUGUAAAUGCCAAUGUCUCAGUGCCAUUGAUGUUCAGAGAGGAAGUGGCUGAAUUCCCACAGGAAGAGUUGCCCGUUAAACUGUCUCAGGUGCCAGACCCUCCAGAUAACAUGAAUCUGGCCAAGAAUUUUCCAGCACAUAUUUUUGAGCCAGCUGUGUUGUUAACACCACCCAGGCAGAAGAGCAACUUAAAAUUCUCUCCUCUUCAGGACGUAUUGAGAAGGACUGUUCAAACUCGUCCUGCUCCACGACUUCCUCCAACUGUGGAAAUAAUUGAGAAGGAACAAAAUUGGGAAGAGAAGACCUUACCUAUUGAUACAGACAUUCAGAAUUCAAGUGAAGAGAAUCGUCUCUUCACUCAGAGAUGGAGAGUCUCUCACAUGGGAGAAGAUUUGGAGAACAAAACUCAGGCUCCUUUUGUUAACCUCUCACAGCCCCUCUGCAAUUCCCAUUCCAACACUCAACAGUCAAGAAGCCCCACAUUCUCAGAAGAGCUCCCAGUACUGGGAGAUGGGCAGCAGCUGAGAACAAAUGAGUCAUUAAUACAAAGAAAGGACAUAAUGACACGAAUUGCUGAUUUGACAUUGCAGAAUUCAGCUAUCAAGGCACAUAUGAAUAAUAUUAUUGAGCCCAGAGGAGAGCAAGGGGAUGGACUCCGGGAGUUGAACAAACAAGAAAGUGCAAGUGACAUGACUUCUACUUUUCCAGUAGCACAGUCUCUAACACCAGGUAGUAUGGAGGAACGGAUUGCAGAAUUGAAUCGACAAAGUAUGGAGGCUCGUGGAAAACUACUGCAGUUGAUAGAGCAGCAGAAACUUGUUGGUUUGAAUCUUUCUCCACCAAUGUCACCUGUUCAGUUACCUCUCAGAGCAUGGACUGAAGGAGCAAAGAGGACAAUUGAGGUAUCUAUUCCAGGAGCAGAAGCCCCAGAAAGCUCAAAAUGUAGUACUGUCUCUCCCGUCAGCGGGAUAAAUACAAGAAGAUCUUCCGGGGCUACUGGUAAUUCUUGUUCUCCACUAAAUGCCACCUCAGGAAGUGGGAGAUUCACACCUCUUAAUCCAAGAGCAAAGAUUGAGAAACAGAAUGAAGAAGGCUGGUUUGCUCUUUCUACCCAUGUAUCAUAAGUGAAGUCAAGUCUCACUGAGUUUGUUCUUAAUAAUUUAUUACUUCCCUUUCCCUGCUCUGACUUUUAAGUUUUUAUAUCCUUCUUUCAGAUAAAACCUACAAAGAUCCUGUGAAUUAGUACUAAUGAAACAGAGAAAUAAAGCAAUUAUUUUUUGACUUUCUCAAAUAAGUUUUCAACAACCAACUGACCUACAGCUCCCUGUGAAUGAAACUUUGACUGUAGAGAAGUUAAAGUUUUGUAUUUUAAUACUUUCUUAAGUAUUUUAAGGGUUUUUUUUAUUAAUACAUUUUUACCUUUAUCUUUAUUCAGGGUUUUUUGAGGUUUAGUAUAUCUUAGUUGAUCCAUUUAUUUAUUUAUUUUCCUGAAGAACUAAUUUGCUUUGCAUGUAACUUACAAUAAAAUUCCUCUGUGUGAUUAGAGUCUGGCUUUCAGGAAUAUGUAACACCCACUUUUCUUUCUUUUUUCUUGGGAAGUCAUUGCUGUUCAUCACUUUUUCCAUCAAGUGAAAUAUACAGCCUUAAAAACAAUAGGCCUGGGAGUGUUUGUUUAUAUUUGCUUAAGCAGUGUCAUGAGGCGGAGAAGGCCCGACCAAAGGGCGGAUAGGUACCGGGUUCCCGGAGAGCUGGACGCCGGCCGCGCAUGCGCCCCACGGCCCGCCCUGGUUCCGCCUCCCUGGAAGAGGGGUGGCGUUGUCUCGGUAACCGGAGUAAACGGAGGCCUCCGGCAGACGCUGUGAAGAGAGGAGCCGCGGCGGUCAGUACCUUCGAGGAAAUGAAGGAACCAGAUGAUCAGGAUACUGAUGGGGAGAAAUCAGUUACAUCAAAGAGUGAUGGGAAGAAGUCUCUGAGGUCUUCUAAAUCAGAAUCAAGAUCUCCUGUUCAAGAAGAUAACACAUUUUUAGAAGAUGACACAGAUGAAACAUUUACCAAAGGGGAAGGAUCAUAUUUAGAAGAAGACUCAGAUGAGGAACGUUUGGAAGGAAGUUUGAGUUCAUUUCAGUAUGGUGAUUUGCAAAGCACUACAGUACCUCAGCAAACCCCUGCUCCAGCUGUGGAAGAAGCAGAGGAGGAAGUUAAGAAGAAAAUAUCAGAGAGCUUCUUCUAUGAUUAUAUGGAGCUUGCUUCGAUGCCUUUUGUGACUCUGGAUUCAAACAUACCACUGGAUCUUCUCACACUUGUGUAUCCACCCUGGCUAAAUAUGUAUAAUUUUGGGAUUUUCAUUUCUUAGGUCAGAGGUCAGCAAACUAUAGCCCAGGGAGCCCAAAUGUGCCUUCCCACCUGUUUUGGUAAAUCAAGUUUUAUUGCAACACAGCCACAUCCAUUUGCUUACAUUUUGUUUAUUAUGGCUGCCAUCACACAACAAGGACAGGGAUAAGUAGUUGUGACAGAGACCAUCUGGCUCACAAGGCAAAAACUAUUUACUACCUUCCCUUUAUAAAAAAAUGUGUGCCAACCCAUAUUAGGUAAUUCUAAGAAGCUUGAAUUCUUAGAGAUUUGAUAGAAAUGCAUGAUCUUAAUUUAAACUAAGCUUUUGUUUGAUGCCAAAUAACCAUACAGAGAAAUAUUUUUUCUGGCUGUCCUUUGCACAAGUGGAAAGGCUGCAGUUCAUGAGAUCUGAGUGAAGGAAAUCAGAAGGCUUCUUCUUCCCAUUUACUUUUGUCAGUGCCUGUCAAGUUACAUAAUCAAUUUCCCUUCUUGAAACACUUAUGUGUCUGUCCAUUGUAAGGCAUUAGUACUUUCACAUUAUAUAUCAGAUGAGCUAUCAGAGAAGACAAUUCUUAGGAAACAGGGCACAAAAUAUAAAGUUUUAAUUGGUUUGGAGAAUAAGAGUCUUUUAAGAUAUGUAGAAACAGGAUGAUUGACAAGGGGAUUUUGUGUUCGUCAUCACAUUAUGAUGUUAGGUUUGCAAUGCGGGUAGUUAGAAAACAGUUUUCAUUGAGGUCCUUAGCUGGCAAUGUACUGUGCUUCCCUUUUGGAUAGUUAGUACUUAUCACCACGUGGCCUAAACCACCAACUGGCCUCUUACAUAAGGAAUACUUACAGAGAUAGGGUGGUGUACUCCCUGACUCAGUUUUGCUUUUUACAUAAAAACAUAAAAAUAGAACAUGUUGUUAAAUCCCAGGUGUAACUAAAUUAAUUCGUGCUGAUUUAUCUUGUAACCUGGAAUUUUCUCUCUUCAUGGCUUUUUUUUUCCUUAUCUUUGGACAAGUUUCUGACAAAAGUUAUGCUGUUUGCUUUCUUUUAGCCUUUUUUUCCCAAAUGGGAUGGGGUGGUAUAUUAGAGUCCCCUGGAAGUUUUUCCUAAAGUACACAAUGCUCUGAUGCCUUCCGGGACCUACUGUGCUAGUUCUUUGUGGAGAGGGACUUGGGAAUAUGUACUCUGAAGAAACUCCGAGUUGGUUUGGCAGUGCACUGCCUUCUCACUGCUCCAGGAUGGGAGGGUCUGUAUUAGACAAAUAUGCCUAAAUUCUAAACAUCAGAGUCAGAAGAACCUUAACUUUUAUUCCAAUAUAUGAAUUAUCUCUAUUCGUGCUGGAUGGGUGGCUGUAUAAACUAUAGCCUUUUCUUAAACAUUUUCAACACCAGGAAAAUCACAAAGUAGCUUACCCCACUUUUGGACGGCUCACUAGAGAGCUUUUUGGGCCUUGAAUAAAAUUCUGCCUUGCUGGGAUGGCCCCCAUUAGAUUUAGUUCUCCUCUCUGCAGAUGGACAUAUAUAAUCUCUAUAUCUUGUGAGGAAUUCUAGGAAGAACAAGUCAGCCAUCAGGUAUUCCCUAAGUACUCUUUUAAUUAACCCUUUAAUGAUUAUUAGUAUAUUAUAUUGAUUCUACUUCAGUUUUUGCUUUUUUGUUUUGUUCUGUUUUGUUUUGAGAUGGAGUCUUGCUCUGUCGUCCAGGCUGGAGUGCAAUGGCACGAUCUCUGCUUACUGCAACCUCCGCCUGCCGGGUUCAAGCAAUUCUCCUGCCUCAGCCUCCCGAGUAGCUGGGACUAUAGGCAUGCACCACCACAUCCAGCUAAUUUUUGUAUUUUUAGUAGAGAUUGGGUUUCACCAUAAUGGCCAGGCUGGUCUCGAACUCCUGACCUCGUGAUCUGCCCGCCUUGGCCUCCCAAAAUGCUGGGAUUACAGGUGUGAGCCACCGCGCCUAGCCCUCUACUUCAGUUUUUAAAUUUAUGUCUUCUAAAUUUUAGCAAUGUUAAAUCAAGUUUAGCCUAAAGCUGCCUCCUUACAUACUUUAAGUUCAGCCUCCAGGUUUCUCUGUACAUGGUGAACUAUAACCUAAAGGGAGUUAGACUCUAGCCUACUCUUGAGCCAGUUACUGAGUUGUGGUCAAAGGUGGCCAACUGUUCAAACUGUGUUAAAAUAAGGCAGAUGCCAAGCUGUAACCAAUUCGGCUAUUUCUGUACCUCACUUUCGUUUUCUGUAUGUCACUUUCCUUUUUCAGUCCAUAAAUCUUCCUGCACGUGGCUGUGCUGGAGUCUCUGGGCCUACUCUGGCUCAGAAGGCUGCCGAAUUCUUGAAUGGUUCUUUGCUCAAUUAAACUCUGUUAAAUUUAA